UGUAGUUGAGUGCAUUGAUGACAGUCAACUGGACCUGUGAGCUACACAAAUCGGACGGUGCAUGUGCUCUUGUAGGGCUCCUAUAAAAUGCAUUUCCUAACUCUGUCUCAAAUGAUGAAUUCGACAUAGCUUAAUUGAAAAUAAAUUAACUUUGUGCCAAUGUCAUGGUUUAACAUUCAUUGAUGUUAUCUUGAAAGGUAUAUUAUGAAUUUUGACUUAGUAUUUAUCAAAUUAUGCUGUUAUUAAACAGUAGCAAUGUAAUAUAUAUGUCAAUUGUACUACUUAGUAGCAAAGGGCUUUGUCACAUCGGAUCCAGCAGCUCAGUGUGGGUGUGAAUACAGACGAACCGUGCCACUACAAUAAAGCCUAUGGUUUCCUGAUCGACAUGUCGUGCCACCGUGAUGGAGUUCGAGAGUUGUGAAACGGAAGACGGAUCUUGGCAACCGGCCCAGCGGGCGGGUCAUCUCAUUAUUUGCCACCGAUGAAGGAUCUUAAUACAUUACACGAUGCAUCAGGGAAAGAGGUGUAGAGAGCUCACACAUGGGAUUUAAAAUAGAGUGAAUUUCACAUUUUAUCCCCUAGAUGUGCAUUUGUGACACUAAUUACCCCGUCAAGUUAAAAUUCAUCUAGAAUACACCUUUAAGAAGCUUCAGACUCUCAUUUUUUUAUGCAUGUCUAUUAGGAAAUGUGUAAGUUGAUGUGUGGGAUCCAAAAAUAUCUAGCCGAGGACGAGGAAUGAAACAAAUGGACAAGUAAACCCUGGACAUGAUCGUCAAUAAUGUCCUUUGUACUUUACUCAUUUUUCUUACGAAUCAUUUACACAACAUGCGGAUACUAUCUAACACAAACAAGCAAAAUGAAAAACUGAGGUAAUAUCGUUAAAAGUCUCUAAAAUCUGAUAUUCUAAUAGAAUUUCCACUAAAUGAGGUAAUAUGUGUUACAAAUUUAUAACUAUAGGGUAUAAAGUGAAAUUCACUCUUUAAAAUACUAGCAUGAUUCGGAAACAAGAAGUUACCAAAGAAAACAAACAUGCACGGAUAAAAGAACCAAAAUAGAUCAUAUGUUUCUUCUAUAACUAGGUUUACAAACACAUGUACUCUCACAAUGACCAAGUGUGGAGUAGUUGAGUGCAUUGAUAAAUAGUGAGCUCGACCAGUGAACUAUACCAUUCUGUCGGCUGCAUCAGGUAUUGGUCAUGCAGGGCUGGGAGCAACUACCUUGGUUUACUUUGUCAUCGUGUCAUAUUUUAAAAAUCAUUCAUGACAUAAUUAGUCUAUACAAAGGUAUAUCUUUCGGGUAAAUAGCUACGCGUUAUGUACAUAACACUAACUAAGGUAUCGAACUCGAAAGAGAAAAACUAAAAUAUCAACCGUUUUGCUAGUGGCUUUGCAGCUUUGGUGCACCCGGAUCUGAUAGCGCAACGCCGAAGUGGAAUAUGCGUGCGUCAUGCCACUGCCAUUUGGAUUAUACUAGUGAUUGGGGCGUCACCCGGUGGCGCCUCCUGAGGCGGGAUUAUACGCACCAAUCUAGUUGUCAUAUUUGUUAACAUGUCUAUAUAAUAAUAGAUUUAGCGUAGUGAGAAGACAUGUAAACAGAUGAUACAUCAAUAAAAACCCAAUACAGACGCACAUGCAUAAAAUAGAAGCACUGACAUGAGCAACUUGGUGCUGGAAAGAAUCACAUAACUAAGAAAUCCAUCGACAUAAGAAGUGUCAAGACAUGAGAUACACAGAUCACAUGUGACCUGCCAAACUGAGAAUCACAUUACCAGGAAAUUUAUGGACAUAAGAAGUGUCAGAUAUCGUUUUAGAGAUGGAAGAGAGUCUGACUCCAUCUCAUUUCCACCUGCAAAGAAUAUUAAGAGUGUGAGUAUAAAGUGUAAAUCAUGUAACUUCUUUAGAAGAUUUUCAUCAUACACUUCAAAUAGAAGAAUUAAAUGUCUCAGCGCUCAGCAAUAUUUGAAAUGAAGGACUGUAAUGUUUCUUUCAUUGUUUGAAGGUAUAAUUCAUGUGAAAAACAUAAAAUGCGUGAG
rnacentral:lncRNA from 1 species